rfam:Triticum aestivum genome assembly, contig: Triticum_aestivum_CS42_TGACv1_scaffold_642877_T_1BL-0.062418_3DS-0.040155
UAACUACUCCCUCCGUUCCAAAUUACUCGUCGCAGAAAUGGAUGUAUCUAGAACUAAAAUACAUCUAGAUACAUCCAUACGUGCGACAAUUAAUUCGGAACGGAGGGAGUACCAU